UACGUAGGGGGCAAGCGUUGUCCGGAUUUAUUGGGCGUAAAGAGCGUGUAGGCGGCCAGGUAGGUCAGCUGUGAAAACUCGAGGCUCAACCUCGAGAUGUCGGCUGAAACCAUCUGGCUAGAGUCCGGAAGAGGAGAAUGGAAUUCCCGGUGUAGCGGUGAAAUGCGCAGAUAUCAGGAGGAACACCGGUGGCGAAGGCGGGUCUCUGGCCCGAAAUUGACGCUGAGGAGCGAAAGCGUGGGGAGCAAACAGG
rnacentral:rRNA from 1 species